rnacentral:misc_RNA from 1 species
GAUGAAGAACGCAGCGAAAUGCGAUACUUGGUGUGAAUUGCAGAAUCCCGUGAACCAUCGAGUCUUUGAACGCAAGUUGCGCCCGAAGCCAUUUGGUUGAGGGCACGUCUGCCUGGGCGUCACAUAUCGUUGCCCGAUGCCUAAUGCACUGUGAUAGGAAAUUCUAGGGCGAAAGAUGGCUUCCCGUGAGCGUUGUUGCCUCGCGGUUGGUUGAAAAUUGAGUCCUUGGUAGGGUGUGCCAUGAUAGAUGGUGGUCGAGUUUGCACGAGACCGAUCAUGUGUGCGCUCCCCAAAAUAUGGACUCUUUGACCCCACACGCGUCUUUUGACGCUCAUGACGAGACCUCAGGUCAGGCGGGGCUACCCGCUGAGUUUAAGCAUAUCAAUAAGCGGAGGA